UUUAUGGAGAGUUUGAUCCUGGCUCAGGAUGAACGCUGGCGGCGUGCUUAACACAUGCAAGUCGAACGGUGAAGCCCCGCUUGCGGGGUGGAUCAGUGGCGAACGGGUGAGUAACACGUGAGCAACCUGCCCUGGACUCUGGGAUAAGCGCUGGAAACGGCGUCUAAUACUGGAUAUGAGCUCUCAUCGCAUGGUGGGGGUUGGAAAGAUUUUUUGGUCUGGGAUGGGCUCGCGGCCUAUCAGCUUGUUGGUGAGGUAAUGGCUCACCAAGGCGUCGACGGGUAGCCGGCCUGAGAGGGUGACCGGC
rnacentral:rRNA from 1 species